rnacentral:rRNA from 1 species
AUCUACUCUGUCGUGGGGGAUAACGUAGGGAAACUUACGCUAAUACCGCAUACGACCUACGGGUGAAAGCAGGGGAUCUUCGGACCUUGCGCGAUUGAAUGAGCCGAUGUCGGAUUAGCUAGUUGGCGGGGUAAAGGCCCACCAAGGCGACGAUCCGUAGCUGGUCUGAGAGGAUGAUCAGCCACACUGGAACUGAGACACGGUCCAGACUCCUACGGGAGGCAGCAGUGGGGAAUAUUGGACAAUGGGCGCAAGCCUGAUCCAGCCAUACCGCGUGGGUGAAGAAGGCCUUCGGGUUGUAAAGCCCUUUUGUUGGGAAAGAAAUCCAGCUGGCUAAUACCCGGUUGGGAUGACGGUACCCAAAGAAUAAGCACCGGCUAACUUCGUGCCAGCAGCCGCGGUAAUACGAAGGGUGCAAGCGUUACUCGGAAUUACUGGGCGUAAAGCGUGCGUAGGUGGUCGUUUAAGUCCGUUGUGAAAGCCCUGGGCUCAACCUGGGAACUGCAGUGGAUACUGGGCGACUAGAGUGUGGUAGAGGGUAGCGGAAUUCCUGGUGUAGCAGUGAAAUGCGUAGAGAUCAGGAGGAACAUCCAUGGCGAAGGCAGCUACCUGGACCAACACUGACACUGAGGCACGAAAGC